UACGUAGGGGGGCAAGCGUUUGUCCGGAAUCAUUGGGCGUAAAGCGCGUGUAGGCGGCUCGAUAAGUCUGCUGUGAAAGUCCAAGGCUCAACCUUGGGAUGCCGGUGGAUACUGUCGAGCUCGAGUCCGGAAGAGGAGUGUGGAAUUCCUGGUGUAGCGGUGAAAUGCGCAGAUAUCAGGAGGAACACCAAUGGCGAAGGCAGCACUCUGGGACGUGACUGACGCUGAGACGCGAAAGCGUGGGGAGCAAACAGG
rnacentral:rRNA from 1 species